UGACGUCACGCCGCCCUAUAAAAGCUUCGCCGUCAGCCUUCAGGCUCUCUUACGACCGUUAGCCGUCUGACCGAGCGCCAGCCCGACGGAGACUAAACGCUUAAAAAUGGGAUGUGACCUUAUUGCUGAGUGUGAUGAGAAGCUGCCGUGCUGUGGAUCGUGAGGUGCCGGAGGAGACGUCAGCUCAGCUGGGUUUCCACACUUGUCCCGGCCCUCAGCAGCACCCAUGCAGCAAAAUGAUGUUUCUGCUGCAGCAAGGAGGGUGGCCUCCUCACCGCAAGCUUCAGCUACAGCACAGAUGACGAGAUGGCAGAAAAACAUGAGAACCUCAUGACCUGAUGAGCAGUGGUUUUUGCCACAGCCAAGGAUGGCCUACUCGUCACAGGAUUCAGCUUCAUCAGGAACUCUCCAACAGAGACUCCUGAAUCCAUCUUGGAGAUGUGAAACGAGGAGCGUCGGCGGCCUUCGCUGAGCGGCAGAUUGUUGAAGCCGUUGAGACUGCUGAGAGCACCGAACUGUCAACACUGAUCUGUGCAGACUCACUGUGGGACAUGAACCAUUUUUGUAAAUGACAGAACUUGUAGCUUUGAGUUCACUGCAUCAUAUUGUGCCUUGUGUCCUUUUGUGUACUCAAUGACAAAUAAAAUAUCUAACUCUGA